rnacentral:rRNA from 1 species
GUUGUGGUUAAAAAGCUCGUAGUUGGAUCUCAACAGCCUUGAAACGGUUAACUUUGUAGUUUUACUGCUUUAUAGGCUGUGCUUUUGCUGGAGGUUUAGGGGUGCUCUUGAUCGAGUGUCUCUGGAUGCCAGCAGGUUUACUUUGAAAAAAUUAGAGUGCUCAAAGCAGGCUAAAAUGCCUGAAUAUUCGUGCAUGGAAUAAUAGAAUAGGAUGUCGAUCCUAUUUUGUUGGUUUUCGGGACUCGACAUAAUGAUAAAUAGGGACAGUCGGGGGCAUUUGUAUUCAAACGACAGAGGUGAAAUUCUUGGACCGUUUGAAGACAAACUACUGCGAAAGCAUUUGCCAAGAAUGUUUUCAUUAAUCAAGAACGAAAGUUAGAGGUUCGAAGGCGAUUAGAUACCGCCCUAGUUCUAACCAUAAACGAUGCCAGCUAGCGAUCUGCCUGCGUUUUUACUGUAGACUGGGCAGGAAGCUUCCGGGAAACCAAAGCAUUUGGGUUCCAGGGGAAGUAUGGUUGCAAAGCUGAAACUUAAAGGAAUUGACGAAAGGGCACCACCAGGAGUGGAGCCUGUGGCUUAA